rnacentral:lncRNA from 1 species
AACUUUUAAAUAAAUAUUACAUGUAUUAAGUAUUUAUAUUAACCCAAUGUGUAAUUCUUUCAUUUUUGCUGCACUGGGAUGUUUAACAUAGUAUUCUGUGUAUUGCUAGAUCAGUUCUAUAACUUUCAAAACUUUUUUUAAAUGGAGACAAUUUGUAUGGCCUUAAUGAAGAGGACUAUGAUUGAGUUCAAUACAUGAGUUUACUUUCAAAAAUAUUUAUAGGAGAUGCCAGGAGUAAAUUGUAUCAAGUGAAAC